rnacentral:rRNA from 1 species
GACGAACGCUGGCGGCGUGCUUAACACAUGCAAGUCGAACAGUGGCGAACUGGUGAGUAACACGUGAGUAACCUGCCCUCCACUUUGGGAUAACUCCGAGAAAUCGGGGCUAAUACUGUAUAGUGGGGGAUGGGCUCGCGGCCUAUCAGUUUGUUGGUGAGGUAGUGGUCAACCAGGCGUGACGGGUAGCCUGCCUGAGAGGGCGACCGGCCACACAGGGACUGAGACAGGGCACAGACGCCUACGGGAGGCAGCAGGGGGGAAUAUUGCACAAUGGUCGAAAGGCUGAUGCAGCGACGCCGCGUGGGGGAUGCCGGCUGUCGGGUUGUAAACCUCUUUCAGCAAGGAAGCGGUACUUGCAGAAGAAGCGCCGGCUAACUACGUGCCAGCCGCCGCGGUAAUAC